rnacentral:rRNA from 1 species
UACGGAGGGUGCAAGCGUUAUCCGGAUUCACUGGGUUUAAAGGGUGCGUAGGUGGGCAAGUAAGUCAGUGGUGAAAUCUCCGGGCUUAACCCGGAAACUGCCAUUGAUACUAUUUGUCUUGAAUACUGUGGAGGUCAGCGGAAUAUGUCAUGCAGCGGUGAAAUGCUUAGAUAUGACAUAGAACACCAAUUGCGAAGGCAGCUGGCUACACAAAUAUUGACACUGAGGCACGAAAGCGUGGGGAUCAAACAGG